rnacentral:rRNA from 1 species
GUAGUCUCGCACAGAUGCAUAUCAAUAAGCGGAGGAAAAGAAACUAACAAGGAUUCCCCUAGUAACGGCGAGUGAAGCGGGAAGAGCUCAAGUUUGAAAUCUUAAAGGGUUUCCCUUUACGAAUCGUAGUUUAAAGAAGUGUUUUCUGUUGAGGUUUUGGUAAAAGUUCUUUGGAAUAGGACAUCAUAGAGGGUGAGAAUCCCGUAUUUGACCUUUACUUUCAACUUUGUGAUACACUUUCAAAGAGUCGGAUUGUUUGGGAAUGCAGUCCAAAAUGGGUGGUAAAUUUCAUCUAAAGCUAAAUAUUGGCGAGAGACCGAUAGCGAACAAGUACCGUGAGGGAAAGAUGAAAAGAACUUUGAAAAGAGAGUUAAACAGUACGUGAAAUUGUCAAAAGGGAAGCGUUUGACACCAGUGUUGUUUUUCUGAAAAUCAAUUAAAGAACUGUUUAUGCUAAGUUGUUUAGACUUUAUCAGCUAACUGUUUAGUUUUGAGCUUUUCUUUAAUGCACUUUUCAGUUAACAAGUCAACAUCAAUUUCUUUUGCUGUAAAAAAGCUUGAGGAAGGCUGGCUGGAGAUUCGUCUUAAGUGUUUAUAGCCUCUUGCCUAUGCAGUCGGAGAGAUUGAGGUCUGCAGCGUAGAUCCUUCGGGGCUAAAUGCAUUUGUGCUAAGUUAUAGCAUUUCAUAGACAACUUGUUGACUAUGAUUUGUCUUGUAGCUUACUCGCUUAUGUUAUUUUACCUACGCUUAGGAUGUUGAUCUGUAGUGCGUGCGC